GCGGAUGUGGUCAAGUGGAAAGACGCAGCCUCGACAAGGCUGAGAGCGCAGGUUCAAUCCCUGCCAUCCGCACCA
rnacentral:tRNA from 1 species